GGUUAAGCGACUAAGCGUACACGGUGGAUGCCCUGGCAGUCAGAGGCGAUGAAGGGCGUGCUAAUCUGCGAUAAGCGCCGGUAAGGUGAUAUGAACCGUUAUAACCGGCGAUACCCGAAUGGGGAAACCCAGUGUGACUCGUCACACUAUCAUUAACUGAAUCCAUAGGUUAAUGAGGCGAACCGGGGGAACUGAAACAUCUAAGUACCCCGA
rnacentral:rRNA from 2 species